CCUACGGGGGGCAGCAGUGAGGAAUAUUGGUCAAUGGACGAGAGUCUGAACCAGCCAAGUAGCGUGAAGGAUGACUGCCCUAUGGGUUGUAAACUUCUUUUAUGUGGGAAUAAAAUGUUCCACGUGUGGGAUUUUGUAUGUACCAUAUGAAUAAGGAUCGGCUAACUCCGUGCCAGCAGCCGCGGUAAUACGGAGGAUCCGGGCGUUAUCCGGAUUUAUUGGGUUUAAAGGGAGAGUAGGUGGAUUGUUAAGUCAGUUGUGAAAGUUUGGGGCUCAACCGUAAAAUUGCAGUUGAAACUGGCAGGCUUGAGUACAGUAGAGGUAGGUGGAAUUCGUGGUGUAGCGGUGAAAUGCUUAGAUAUCACGAAGAACUCCGAUUGCGAAGGCAGCUCACUGGACUGCAACUGACACUGAGGCUCGAAAGUGUGGGUAUCAAACAGGAUUAGAUACCCGUGUAGUC
rnacentral:rRNA from 1 species